AUUCAGCUGGCGAGUCCCAAAUAGGACGAAACGCUCGUCCUAGAU
rnacentral:hammerhead_ribozyme from 1 species